CGUAUGACUUGGGAUGUCGUCCCUGGCGGUGCUCGCCCGCCUCUUCGACGGGAAGCCUGCCAACGGCCGCGCCUGCCCUCAUCGUCGAGUGCCUCGCUGCCCUCGUCCACGUCCUCCCCGACGCCUUCGCUGGCGUGACUUCCCCUUCUCCGGCGUCCUCACCGCCCUUGAUGUCGGCGUAACCAUCGGCUGACCAUGGUGACGUCGAAGAACCCGUGCGCAAUCAGGCGACCUGUCGUCGCCUUUGCCUUCCACCAGAUCGCUCAGAUUACUCUAUAUUCAACGUGUCUGCUUUAAAUAGGCGCAAACCUCACAGUGCUUCUGCUGCAGAUGCCCUCAAAGUGUUUGCUUUAAUGUCCGAUCAACGAUUACUACAACAUCACGUACGUUAUUCCCUCGCCAGCUCACCGUUUUCAUUCCAAGCACGCCAUAAGAUACGAGUAUUCGACCAUCGUGCGAAAAGGGAUCCAACGCCACUUGACAUCCGCCCCCGAUAUGGACCUCAUCAAGAUUCGUGCGCAACCAGUAUUCCUUAAACGCGACCUGCCAGUUCUUGACUACACUCUUGCCGACCACCUCGCGUUCAUCCAUAUGACCCGUUCUCUCAAGAAUAGCGAACGCCUCUCGCUCUCGCUCUCGCUCGACCCUCCUGAUUUCAUUUCUCGAAGCCAAAGGGAGGAACCAUUCCCGGAAGACAGCGUGGACACCCAGGUCCUCCAUCUCGCCGUAGCGGAGCUCGACGGCGACUCCUUCGUCGCUGUCUUCGCCUACUACGUUCGCUGCAAAACCCUAAUCCAGCUUCUGGACUUCACCCAGCGCGAGCGUACCCGUACGGGACGCGGAGGAGGAGGAUGGUGAACGGGCCAUUCUUGUUGGGCGUCGGAGGAAGACCAAUGGGGCUUGCCGAUUCCUGCGAGGUUGUCUCCGCUGCAAACGGUUCUUGACGGCUUGGCGACCUGUCAAUGGAUCGAGGAGUUCUUUGGUAAAGAAAAUGUUAAUACAACUUGUGAUGUACAGUACAUGCUUGGGGAACAAUGAUUCAACAAGUAUUCGAUCGGUGGCUUUGGGGAUGGCACCGAAGAGUUCCAUCUCACAAACUCGUAAUGCUGAUUGGGGUCAGUUAACACCUUAAAGAAAGGGUACUUGUUCUUUCCAUCUAACAAACUCAUAAUGUUGAGUGGGAGCAGUUAAUACCUUAAAGAAACUGUACUAAAACACCAAAAGGCGAUGAAUCAUGUUCCUUUCAUCUUAAUUUUGUUCUAUUAAUUCUUCCAACAGUUUUAGAUAAUUACCACUUCGAUUCAGUUUCUGAACUUUUAAGAAUCUUCCGGUGAGUAACACUGGAAUUGCUAAUGAUUGGAGGUUAAAUGACAAAGGGUGAGCAUUCAUUCAUGAUUAUCAAUUUGAACACACUUAAUAGUUGGUUGCAAAUGUGAUAGACUACACAAUAAUUUUGAAUUUGUAGAUGAUGACUUAAAACAUGUUUUAUGUUCUAGUACAAAUUUUAUAUGGUCUUUAUGCUACUAGUCUCUGUAUCUCCUUUUCUUCAUAGGGUAGCUCUUGGUAAUUUGUCUGCAAAUGAACUCAUUUAUGAUAAAUGACCUUUUACCUAUCUUGGUCCAAUAUCGAUUAGGUUCAUUAUUCUUUUCACAAAGAGUAACUUGGUUAUAUAAAAUGUCUUGUGAAUUAUAGCUCAUGCAUUGAUAAUCACUUCAACUCUACGCUAAUAACAAAAUUGCUUGAUAUCUGACCAAAAGGGUGCUCUGCUUUUGAGCCUUGAAGGCUGUAAGUCCUUCUUUUAGGUCUUGAUUAAUUAAAGGGAGAAUUUAUCGGUAGCACAAGUUCUGAAAAUGAGAUUGUGGUUCCUAUUGCAACACAAGGUUGCUUUAAGUAGUAAGUUUCUAGGGUAAUAUCUGUGGAGUUUUGUGCCGGCAGCACGUGGACAAUAUUACUGAAGAGCUUUCAGUUAGCAACUUCUAUAUGGACGAUGGGCUUGGAUGUUUAGAGGUAGAUGAUACUUGAGUUACUUUCACUUUGUUGAUUUAUGUAGAUUGAACUUUGAAGAUAAUUUUGGGCUACCCAUGUUAUGGCUUUUAUUUCUCCCAUUUUGUUGGGGUGAAAGCAUUCGAGUGUACAUAUCAACAAUUUGUUCUUUCGGUGCUCAGAAUGAACCUGAUAGUUAUAUCUUUUUGUAGCAUAUUAUUUGUCAGCCAUUACUUUUUUAAAUAAGAUACUUUUGUCCUU